GUCUCUUAUAAUAAAUCAAUUAAACUGAUCUCCCAGUAAAAAAGCUGGAAUUACCACAUAAGACCAGAAGACCCUGUGAAGCUUAAACUACACUAUUAAACCACAUAAUAGCCACUUUUGGUUGGGGCGACCUUGGAAAAAAAAAGAACUUCCAAACCAUGANCAUAUCACCAAUAGGCCUACAAGCCACUAACGACCCAGCAUAGCUGAUUAUUGAACCAAGUUACUCCAGGGAUAACAGCGCAAUCCUCUUCAAGAGCCCAUAUCAAAAAGAGGGUUUACGACCUCGAUGUUGGAUCAGGACAUCCUAAUGGUGCAGCCGCUAUCAAGGGUUCGUUUGUUCAACGAUUAAUGUCCUACGUGAUCU
rnacentral:rRNA from 1 species